rnacentral:rRNA from 1 species
GAUGAACGCUGGCGGCGUGCCUAAUACAUGCAAGUCGAGCGAACAGACGAGGAGCUUGCUCCUCUGACGUUAGCGGCGGACGGGUGAGUAACACGUGGAUAACCUACCUAUAAGACUGGGAUAACUUCGGGAAACCGGAGCUAAUACCGGAUAAUAUAUUGAACCGCAUGGUUCAAUAGUGAAAGACGGUUUUGCUGUCACUUAUAGAUGGAUCCGCGCCGCAUUAGCUAGUUGGUAAGGUAACGGCUUACCAAGGCAACGAUGCGUAGCCGACCUGAGAGGGUGAACGGGCACACUGGAACUGAGACACGGUCGAGACUCCGACGGGAGGCAGCAGUAGGGAAUCUUCCGCAAUGGGCGAGAGCCUGACGGAGCAACGCCGCGUGAGUGAUGAAGGUCUUCGGAUCGUAAAACUCUGUUAUUAGGGAAGAACAAAUGUGUAAGUAACUAUGAACGUCUUGACGGUACCUAAUCAGAAAGCCACGGCUAACUACGUG